rnacentral:sRNA from 1 species
GAGGAACCUGCCCCGAGAACAGAGAAAAGGUAGAAAAGAGAGGAGAUGCUGAUGGCAUCUGGAAACAAGUCUUAGAGAUGGUCUCCACCCGGAGGGGAUAAGGGGAGACAUCCCCAACUGGAAUGUGUCCUGGAGCAGUUGCCUGGGAAGAAGUCCUCGAGUUUCCUCAAGGCCCCACUCCUGGCAGCUGAGUGCUGCACCUGCCUUCUCGAUCACAAGCCUGAGAACUGCAUGGGGGAGCAGCCCAGACUGGCUGGAAACCAUGUUUUCAGAGUGCAGGGUCAAGUGGCGUGUAGGACUCUCUGUCAAAAGAAUGACCCCUUUCCCCACCACAUACCCACAACUGCACAGCCUCUGGACAGAUGUGAGAAGGCACCACCUCAAGAGGGGAGGAGCGGGGCUGAUCCUGGUAGGGCGGACCUGAGUCGGGCAGCCGCUCUCCCGGAACUGGAAGGGAAAGCCAGGCGGCUCUCAUGGGCUGUUGGUGUCUGAGCCGGGCGGGUCGAACGCCCAGGGCACUGCGCCCCGCAACUGCCGCUCCUGCAAGGAAAAGCUCUGGCACGCCGAUGACGUCGCCGGCCUCGUCCAGCUCCAUGUCGCCCUCCGUCGCCAAGAUGC